UCCGGGAUCGUCUAAUGGUAGGACAUCGCCCUUUGGAGGCGGCUAUCUUGGUUCGAAUCCAAGUCCCGGAGCCA
rnacentral:tRNA from 1 species